ACCGGGUGUGGGAGGGGGGUGGGGGGUGGGGGUGGGGGGUAUCGGGGAAACUGGGGAAGAUGGGAGAGCUGGAGGAGAGUCGUGGGGUCCGAGGAGCACCUCGGCAUCUGGAGUCUGGCAGGAAUGUUGAAGGACUGAGGGGCUAGCUCAGGCAGAGCAAAGGCAUCGCAAAGGCUGGAAAACAUCGGAGUGAAGCUGAAGGGCCUGAGCUAGGGUUGGAGAGGAAUGGGGAGCCAGACAUUCAUCCCGGUUACUUUUGGUUACAGGACGUGGCGGCUGGUCGGAUAAAGGGGAGCUGCUGGGAAGGGUUCGACCCCAGACCUGGGCAGUGAAGGUAUAGCUGGCAGCAGUGGGCAGGUGAGGACCGCCGUCUGCUGGGCAGGUGAGUCUCCUUCUUCUCUCUUGGCCUCGCUCCACUGACCUUCUAAACGAAGGUUUAGAGAGGGGGCCUGGUGAGAAGAAGCGGCUGGCCUCGCAGCAGAAUGGCACAUAGAAAGGCAGGAUAGUUAGCAAAGGAGACAUCGUCUCGGGGGGAGCCGAGACAGAAGGAGGCUGGGGGACCAUUGGCGACCCCAGGUGGAAAGAGCUCUUAGAGAGAAGAAAGAAGAGGUGCAGGGUUGCCAGUAAAGACUGAGGCCGCUGCCUCCAGGGAGGUGAUAGGAGUCCUUGGAGACAGUGGCAGAGACCAUGGGAUCCAGCAAGAACAGAAGCAUUCUAGGCUGGGGUCAAACAGGGCAAGAUGGGGUCACAAGACACAGAUGGGUCCCCAGCCGCCACAACAUCCCACCCACCGUAAUUCACUUAGAAGAAGGUUCAAGAGUGGCUCUGGCAAAGUCCCAAGUUUGCCAGAGCCUCAAUAACUGGAGAAUGGAAAAGAAGGGCAGUGCAGGGUGUCACCAGAAGGGGAGUGGGGGCUGCAGGUAUCGGACUCCAGAGGGAUUUUACAGCAAGGAGGCUGCAGUGGGUCCAGCCUGCAGACACACCAUUCCCAUGAGGCACUGCGGCCCAGGGACUGGUGCGGAAAGGGCCCACAGUGGACUUGGUACACUGUAUGCCCUAACCGCUCAGUCCCUGGGUCUGGCAUGACAGACAGAACAUUUCCAGGGGAGUCAAGGGCACAGGAUGAAGCCAGACGAGGCGAGGCAGGCGGGGCAGAAUGAAUGAGUUUCUAGGGAGGGAGGUUGGGUGCAGGUAGAGCGAGUAGCUGGGGUGGUGAGCCAGGGAGGCACUGGCCUCCAGAGUCCGUGGCCAAGGAGGGCCUUGCGGGCGGCGACGGAGCAGUGAUCGGUGUCUCGAAGAGCUCGGACUGGAGACUAGGGUCUCCAGCAGAGGUGGAUGUGCCUGCCAGUCACUGAAGGCGAGGAUGACAGGUGUGGUCAAUGUGACAGAAAGACAUGACAUGGUCCGGUGUGAUGGAGAGGACAGAAGGGCAGUCAUCCAGCCUUCUUGAACACCAUGGGCUGGCGCCUUGUCGUAGAAGCCGUCUGUUCUUUCACUUUUCCCAAAGAGCUAACACUUCUCUGCUGCUCUCUGGAUCCUCCUCCCCCUACCUUGAACCCUCAAGAUGAAAGAAAUGGUGCUACCCAGCUCAUGUCUGGGCCUUUGAAUCCGGGGACUUCUUUAAGUCCGUCUCGUUCUGAAUCAAGAAGAUGCUGCAAUCAGAACCACUACACUACCUGCCUCAGGAAUCUGCUCCAAGGUGAAGCUGAAAGAACAGAUGGUGUCAACAUUUUGAAAGAGCAGACUCAUAGCACCCACCCACCCCUGAGAAUCCAUCUUCAUGGCCAACUCUGCCUGACCCGGGAGACCACCACCCACAUCAUCCUGGAGCCAAGCCUCUACCCCGGGAUGACUUCAUCAUCUCCCUCCUGUCUUUUUCUUCUUCCUCCUUUCCUGUAAUUCUGUUUCUUUCCUUUUGUUCCUUCCUUGCUUGAGAGACUCAAAGCACCCGUGACUCUGUUUCCCCAUUUACCCCCUUUUGAAUUUGCACUAAGUCGAUUGCACUGGUUUGGAGUCCCGGAGAUAGCUUUGAGUCUCUCCGUAUGAAUGUAUACAGCGAGUGUGUAAACCUCUUUGGCAAUGCUGCCCCAGUACCCACCUGUCGUCCAUCUCCGUCUGAGGGCAACUGGGUGUGGCCGUGUGCUUGAGGCCUCGCCUUCCCCUCGCCUAGUCUGGAAGCAGUUCCAUCAUAAAGUGUUCAACAUGCCCUACUUCAUCCUUUGCCCCUCCUCACCAGGGCCUCACCAGAGGUCCUGGGUCCAUCAAUAAAUACAGUUACAGUCAU
rnacentral:lncRNA from 1 species